UCCUCCAAGUUGUGAAAUGUUUCACAGAUUUGUCACUGUUCUUUAUUGAUGCGUAGUAUUCCAUUGUGUGAAUAUACCACAGUUUAUUUAACCAUUCAUCUGUUGAUGGACACCUUGGUUGCUUCCAGCUUUUUGCUAUUGUAAACAGAGCUGCAGUAAACGUGGGUGUGCAUAUAUCUGUUUGUGUGAAGGCUCUUAAUUCUCUAGGGUAUAUUCCGAGGAGUGGGAUUUCUGGGUUGUAUGGUACUUCUAUUUCUAACUGUUUAAGAUAACGCCAGAUAGAUUUCCAAAGUGGUUGUAUCAUUUGACAUUCCCACCAGCAGUGUAUAAGAGUUCCAAUCUCUCCGCAGCCUCUCCAACAUUUAUUCUUUUGUGUUUUUUGGAUUAAUGCCAGCCUUGUUGGAGUGAGAUGGAAUCUCAUCAUACUUUUAAUUUGCAUUUCUCUAAUGGCUAAUGAUCGAGAGCGUUUUCUCAUGUAUCGGUGAGCUGCCUGAAUAUUGUCUUUAGUGAAGUGUGUGUUUAUAUCCUUUGCCCACUUCUUGAUAGGGUUGUUUGUCUUUUUGUGGUUGAGUUUUGACAGAAUCAUAUAGAUUUUAGAGAUCAGGCGCUGGUCGGAGAUGUCAUAGCUGAAAAUUCUUUCCCAGUCUGUAGGUGAUCUUUUUACUCUUUUAGUGAAAUCUUUAGAUGAGCAUGGGUGUUUGAUUUUUAGGAGCUCCCAGUAGUCUGGUUUCUCUUCGUCAUUUUUGCUGAUGUUUUGUAUUCUGUUUAUGCCUUGUAUUAGGGCUCCUAAGGUUGUUAGGGUGAAGUUUUAGAUAGCGUGAGGGUUACGGUUAUGGCUAAGGUUUGCUUGAGUUCUUCAGGUUAGUGUUAAGGUUACGUUUAGGGUGAGGGUUAAGUUUAAGGGUUCUGUUUAGUUUUAGGGUUAGGGUCAGAUUUUAGGUUAGGGUUAAGUUUAAUGUGGUUAGGCUUAGAUUUAUGGUUGUGUUAGGCGUUGUGGUUGGGGUGAGGGUUAGGUUUAGGGUUAGGGUUGGGUAGGGUUAGGAUUAUGGUUAUGGUAAGGUGUUAGGGGUUAGAGGUGUAGUUUAGCGUUAGGUUUGGGUGAGGGCUUCGGUUAGGUGUUGUGGUUCUGGUCAUGGUUAGGUUUGGGUUCGGGUUAGGUUUAUGAUUAGGCUUCGGGUUAGUGUUAGAGUUAGGGUGAGAGGCUUUAGGUUUGUGUUAGGCUUUGGUGUUAGGGGUUAGGGUUUGGGUUAGGGUUAAGGUUAUCAUUAGGGCUCAGGGGUUUCAGAUUAGUGUUAGGGUUAGGGAUAACAUUUUGGUUAGGGUUGGGGGAUACGGUUAGGGGUUAGAGUGAAGGUUACGGUUAGUUUUACAGUUAAGGUGAGGGUUUCGGGUAAGUGUUAUGAUAAGGGUUAGAGUUAGAGUUAGGGUUAGGUUUAGGUGUAGGGUAAGAUUUAGGUUUACGUCCAGGUUUAGAGUUAAGGUUAGUGUUCUAUUUAGGGUCAAGGUUAGAGUUAGGGUUAGGGUUAGGAUUAGGUCUAGGGUAUGGAUUAGGAUUAGGUUUAGGGUUAGGUUCAGGGCUAUUAUAAGUCUUAGGUUUAGGGUUACAGAUCGACUAGCGUUAUGGUUAGAGUUGGGUUUAAGGUUAGGGUUUGGGUUAGGUUCAGGUUUAGGGUUAAGGUUAGGGUUAGGGUUUGGAUGAAGUUUAGGAUAGGGUGAGAGUUAUUUUUAUGGUUAGGGCUAGAGUUUGGGUUUAUGUUCAGGUUAGUGUUAAGGUAAGUUUUAGGGUUCGGUUAGGGUUAAGGGUUAUGUUUAGGGUUAGUGUUAGGUUUAGGUUUAGGGUUAGUGUGAAGUUUAGGUUAAGGGUGAGGGCUAGAAAUAGGGUCAGGAGUAAAGAUAGUGUUAGACGUUAGUUUUAGGGUGUUAGGGUUAGAUUUAUGGUUAGGGUAGGGUUGAAUUUAGGGUUAAUAUUAGGGUUAGAUUAGGGUUCCUGUUCGUAUUAGGAUUAGAGUUAGGGAUAAAGUUGGGGACAGCGUUAGGUUUAGGGUUGUGGAUACGGGUAAGGGUUAGGUUGAGGGUUAGGGUUAGGGUUAGGUUUACACUUAAGGUGAGGGUUAUGGUAAUUGUUAUGGUUAGGGUUAGAGUUACAGCUAGGCUUAGGGUUAGGUGAAGUUUCAGUUAAUAGUCAGGGUUAGGGUUAAGGUUAGAGUAGGGUUAAGGUUAGUGUUAGGGAUAGGUAUAGGUUUAGGGUUAGGGUUUGGGUAAGGUUAGGGUUAAGGCUAGGUUUACGGUAAAGGGUAGGGCUAGCUUAGGGUUAGGGUUAGCUUUAGAGUUAGUGCUAGGGAUUAGGGUCAGGGUUAGGGUCAUGUUUAGAGUUAUUUUUAGGUUUAGGGUUAGGGUUAAGGUAGAGUUAAGUUUAGGGUUAUGUUUAGGGUUAGAGUAAGUGUUAGGUUUAGGUAAGGGUUAGGGCUAGGAUGAGGGAUAGGUUUAGGGGUGGGGAAAGGGUUAGGGGUUCGUAUGAGGGUUAGUGUUAGGUUUACAGUUAAGCUGAUGUUUUAGUGUGUUACAGUUAGGGUUAGGGUUAGAGUUAGAGUUAGGGUUAGGUUUGGGUUUAGGGAUAGAGUCAGGGGAUAGUUUAGGGUUAGGUUUAGUUUUAGGGUUAGGGUUAGGCUUAGGUUUAGGGUGAAGUUUAGGUUAAGGAUGAGGGUUAGGGUAAGGGUUAGUGUUUGGGUUAAGGUUAGGUUUAGGUUUCACGUUAGGGUUAGGUGUUUGUGUUAAUGUUAGCUUAAGAUAUAGGGUUAGGUUUAGAGUUUGGUUUAGGAUUAGGGUUAGGGUGAAGUUUAAUUUAAGGGUGAGAGUUAAGCUUAGGGUUAGGGUUAGGGGUUAGGGUUAGGGUUAAGGUUAGGAUUAGGUUUAAGGUUAAGGUUAGGUUUAGGGUUAGGUUUAGGGUAAGUGUUAGGAUUAAGUCAUGUUUAGGUGUAGGGCUAGGAUAAGGUUAGAGAUAGGAUUAGGUUAAGGGUUGGGUUUAGGUUUAGAUGUUAGGGUGUGGGUUAGUGGUAGGUUUCCAUUUAAGCUGAGUGUGUAGGGUAAUUUUUAUGGUUAGGAUUAUGGUUAGAGUUAGGGUCAGUGUUAGGGUUAAGUUUAGGGUUUAGGUUUAUGGUUAGGAUUUGGUUAGGUUCAGGGUUGGGGAAGAUUUAGUGUUAUGUUUAGUUUUAGGAUAGGGUUAGGGUUAAGUUUAUGUUAAGCGUGAGGGUUAGGGUAAGGAUUAGGAGUUAGGGUUCAGGUUACGGUCAGGGGUAGAUUUAGGGUUAGGUUUAGGGUUUGUUUUAGUUUUGGUUAAGGUUAGGGCUUGAAUAAAGUUAGGGUUGGUUUAGGGUUAUGGUUAGGGUGAAAUUUUGGUUAACGGUGAGGGUUCGGUUUAGGGUUAGGGUUAGGCUUAGAGUUAGGGUUAAUGGUUAGGGUUAGAUUUAGGGUUAAGAUUAGGUUUAGGCUAAGGAUUAGGGUUAGAGUUAGGGUUAGGGGUAAGUGUUUUGGUUAGGUUUAGGGUAGGGUUAUAUUUAGGUUUAAGUUUAGGUUUAGGGUAAGAAUUAGAGUUACGUUUACAGUUAAGAUGAAGGUUUUGGGUAGGUGUUAUGGUUAGGGUUAGGGUUAGAGUUAGGGUUAGGGUUUAGGGUUAGGUGUAGUUUUAUGGUAGGGUUAAAGUUAAGAUUAAGGUUAGGGUAGGGUUAGCAUUAGGAUUAGGUUUAGGGUGAGGUUUCGGGUCAGAGUUAUUGUAAGGGUUAGGUUUAGGGUGACUGGUGGGCCAAGGUUAAGGUUAGGGUUAGGUUUAGGGGUAGGGUUAGGGUUAAAGUUAGGGUUAGCUUUAGGUUAGGGAUAGGGUGAAGUUUAAGAUAGGGUGAGGGUUAGGGUUAUGGCUAAGGUUUGGGUUAGUUUUUGGGUUAGUGUUAAGGUUAUGUUUAGGGUUAGGGUUAAGUGUAUGGGUUGUGUUUAGUUUUAGGGUUAGGGUUAGAUUUUAGGUUAGGGUUGAGUUUAGUGUAACAGUUAAGUUUGCGGUUUGUGUUAGGCCUUGUGGUUGGGGUGAGGUUUAGGUUUAUGGUUAGGGUUGUGUAUGCUUAGGAUUAUGGUUAUGGUAAGCUGUUAGGGGUUAGAAGUGUAGUUUAGGGUUAGGGGUGGAUGAGGGUUCUGGUAAAGCAUUGUGGUUCUGACCAUGGUUAGGUUUGGUUUAGGGUUACGGUUAGGUUUAUGAUUAGGUUUCAGGUUAGUGUUCGAGUUAGGGUGAGAGUUAGGGUUAAGGUUUGGGUUAGGCUUUGGUGUUAGGGGUUAGGGUUUGGGUUAGGGUUAGGGUUAUCGUUAGGGCUCGGGGGUUCAGGUUAGUGUUAGGGGUAGGGUUACGGAUAGCAUUAGGGUUAGGGUUGGGGGAUACGGUUAGGGGUUAGGGUGAGGGUUACAGUUAGUUUUACAGUUUAGGUGAGGGUUUAGGUUAAGUGUCAUCAUUAGGGUUAGAGUUAGGGUUAGGAUUAGGGUUAUGGUUAGGUGUAGGGCAAUAUUUAGGUUUAGGUGCCGGUUUAUGGUUAGAGUUAGUGUUCAAUUUAGGGUCAAGGCUAGAUUUAGGGUUAGGGUUAGGUUUAGGUCUAGGGUUAGGAUUAAGUUUAGGGUUAAGUUCAGGGCUAUUGUAAGGGUUAGGUUUAGGGUUACAUUUGGCCUAGCGUUAUGGUUAGAGUUAUGUUUAAGGAUAGGGUUUGGGUUAGGUUUAGGUUUAGGGUUUGGAUGUUUAGGAUAGGGUGAGGGUUAUUUUUAUUGUUAGGGCUAGAGUUUGGGUUUGUGUUCAGGUUAGUAUUAAGGUUAGGUUUAGGGUUCAGUUUAGGGUUGGUGUUAUGUUUAGGGUUAGGUUUAGGUUUAGCAUUAGUAUGAAGUUUAGGUUAAGGGUGAGGGUUCAGACGAGGGUUAGGAUAAGGGUUAGGGUUUUAGUUAGUGUCAGAUGUUAGGUUUAGGGUGUUAGGGUUAGGUUUUUGGUUAGGGUAGGCUUAAAUUUAGGGUUAGUGUUAGGGUUAGAUUAGAGUUACUGUUCGUAUUAGGGUUAGGGUUAAGAAUAAGGUUAGGGAGAGCGUUAGGUUUAGGGUUGCAGAAAUGGUUAAGGCUAGGGUGAUGGUUAGGGUUAGGUUUACUUUUAAGUGUUUGGUUUAGGUUAAUUGUUAAGGUUAGGGUUAGAGUUAGGGUUAGGGUGAAGUUCCAGAAAAUAGUGAGAGUUAGGGUUAAGGUUAGAGUUAGGUUUAAGGUUCGUGUUAGGGUUAGGUUUAGGGUAGGGGUAAGGUAGGGUUAAGGCUCGGUUUACGGUAAAGGGUUGCGCUAGGUUAGGGUCAGGGUUAGGGUUAGAGUUAGAGUUAGUGCUAGGGUUUAGGGUUAGGGUUAGGGUCAAGUUUAGAGUUAUUGCUACGUUUAGGGUUAGUGUUACGGUAGAUUUAGGGUUAGGGUUAAGUUUAGGCAUACGGUACAGAUUAGGUUUAGGUCAGGUUUAGGUUAGGAUUAGGGAUAGGUUAGGGUUAGGGAAAGAGUUAGGGGUUCGUGUGGUUGUUAGUGUUAGGUUUAUACUUAAGCUGGUGUUUUAGGGUGUUAGGGCUAGGGUUAGGGUUAGGGUUAGAUUUAGGGUUAGGGCAUAGUUUAGGGUUAAUUUUGCUUUAGGGUUAGGUUUAGGUUUAGGUUUUGGGUGAAGAUUAGGUUAAGGAUGAGGGUUAGGGUUAGUAUUAGGGAUAGGUGUUUGCGUUCAUGUUAGGGUCAGGUUAAUGGUUAGGUUUAGUGUUAUGCUUAGGAUUCGGUUUAGGGUUAGGCUUAGAGAGAAAUGACUCAUGGUAGUCGUUUUCUGGAUGAGGAACGAAUAUGCAGUGUUGGCGUUAAGCUGUUGUGAAGGCUCGUUUUGGCCCGGGAAAACAAAGCACCUGGGGAAAUCCUAUCAAACCCUGGUGUCUUUCCACAGUUCAAAGUGUGUAACUGCAGACUCUUUUCCAAAUAAGAGAGCGCACAGGCAACAGCAGCCUGCCUGUUUCUCAGUGGAAGGGAGAACUCCCUGACUUCAUCCAGUCCUCUGAGCAAAGCAGGCAGAAGGAGAGAAACUUUCUUUCCUUCCUCUUUUCUGCAAUGAAUUCCUCAUUUGCUCUUGCAAACGCAAGGCUUCUUCUGAAAAACUACAUCGCAGUGCAUGUAUCCUUCCAGAGGAGCAACUACAUAGUUUUAGCUUUAACAUAUUCGGAAAGCACCCAGGGAGAAAAGGUCUUUUCGUAUUCUCUUUUCUGUCUGAAUUUGGUCAUUUUGCACUUGCCGAAAGAGAAUUCCUAGCACAAACUACAAAGCAGUAACUCUCUCCUGGCAGAGUAAAUCCUAUGCAGUGUUGCCCUGACGAGAUACUGUUUGUACAGUGAGGCCUAGGGAAAACACAUUGCCUAGAGAAAUCCUAGCAAAGCCGUGUGUUUCCCCACAUGAAUGUAUGUCAGUUUCAGUUAUUUGCCAAGAACAGAGCUCAGAGGCAACAUCAGAUUUUGUGUUUCUCAGUCAAAAAAAGAACACUGUGACUUCAUCCGUUCCUCUGACGAAAACAGUUAGAAUGAGAAAACAGUCUUUCGGUUUCGCUUUCCCGUAGUGAGCUCGGCAAAUCUCCCCUUUGCAAAGGGAAGUUUUCCUCUGGAGAACUGCCUUGCGGUAGCUGUAUUCUGGAAGUGGAACGAGUAUGCUUCAAGCUAUUGUGAAGGCUCUUUUUGGCCCAGAGAAAACAAAGUGCCUAGGAAAAUCUUAACAAACCACAGUGCCUUUCCACAGUUCAAAGUGUGUAACUGCAGACUCUUUUCCAAAUAAGAGAGCACAGAGGGAACAGCAUCCUGUGUGUUCCUCAGUGGAAGGGAGAACUCCCUGACUUCAUCCAGUCCUCUGAGCAAAGCAGGGAGAAGUAGAGAAACUUUCUUUCAUUCCUCUUUCCUGCAAUGAAUUUUUCAUUUGCUCUUGCAAACGUAUGGCUUCUACUGAAAAACUGCUAAUCCUAACCCUAACCCUAACCUUAACACUAAACCUAAACCUAACCCUAACUUGACCCUAACCUUAACCCAAACACCUAAGCAAACACUACCCCUAACUCUAACCCUCAUCCUUAACCUAAACUUCACCCUAAACCUAAGCCUAAUCCAAACCCUAAAACUAAACCUAACCCUAAACUAUCCCCUCACUCUAACUCUAAACCUAAACCUAACCCUAUCCCUAACUCUAACCCUGACCCUAACCGUAACACCCGAAAACAUCAGCAUAACUGGAAACCUAACACUAACACUCACACGGACCCCUAACCCUUUCCCUAACCUUAACCCUAUAACUAAUUUUGGCUCUAACCCUCACCUAAACCUAACCCUUACCCUAACCCUAACCAUAAGCCUAACCUUUACUCUACCAUAACCCUAUCCUAAGCCUAACAAUAACUCUAAAACUAACACUAACCCUAACCGUAAACCCUAGCACUAACUCUAAAUUUAAACCUAAGUGUAACCGCAACCCUCAACCUAUCUUAAAAUUCGCCCUAUCACUAACCUGAAGGUAACCCUAACUUUAACCCUAACCCUACCUCUAAACCUAACUGUAACCUUAACAUUAACCCAUCUGUAACCCUAAACCUAACCCUUACAAUAAUUCUGGCCCUAACCCUCAACCUAAAGCUAAUACUAAUCCUAACCCUGACCCUAACCAUUACCUAACCUUAACCCUACCACGAACUUAAACAAAACCUUAAACCCUAACCCUAACUCUAACCCUAACCCUAGCCCGAACCCAAACCCUAACGCUAACUCUAACUAUGACUCUAACCCUCACCCUAAAACUAAUCCUAAACCCUAGCACUAACACUGACUCUAAACCUGACCCUAACCCUAGCCCGAACCCAAACCCUAACGCUAACUCUAACUAUGACUCUAACCCUCACCCUAAAACUAAUCCUAAACCCUAGCACUAACACUAACUCUAAACCUGACCCUAAACCUAGCUUAGCCCUACCCUGUACUGUAAACCUAGCCUUAAGCCUAACCAUACCACUACCCUAACCCUAACUCUAUCUCUAGCCCUAACACUAACUCCUACCUUAACCCUAACACUAACCCUAACCCUAACUCGAACUCUAACCCUAACAAUAACAGUUGCCCUAAACCCUCACUUUAACUGUAAACCUAAACCUAACCCUCACCCUAACCCCUAACUGUAUCCCCCAACACUAACCCUAAUGCUAUCCCUAACCCUAACCAGAACCCCUAAGCCCUAAUGAUAACCCUAACCCUAGAACAAAACCUAACCCCUAACACCAAAGCCUAUCCCAAAACAUAAUGCUAACUCUAACCCUAACUCUAACACUAACCCUAAACCUAAUCAUAAACCUAACACUAACCCUAAACCAAACCUAACCAUGACCAGAACCACAAUGCCUAACCGGAAUCUUCACCCAAACCCUAACCCUAAACUACACCUCUAACUCCUAACACCUUACCAUAACCAUAAUCCUAACCCUAUCCAAACCUAACCCUAAACCUAAACCAAACCCCAACCAUAACGCCUAACACAAACCGUAACCCUAACCCUAAAUGUAAAACUAAAUUUAAACCUAGGUUAAAACCUAACCCUACCCUAAAACUAAAAAAAAGGAACCCAAAAACUUAACCCUAACCCUAAACAUAACCUUAACACUAACCUGAAAACUAACCCAAACCUUAGCCAUAACCCUAACCCUCACCCUAUCUUAAACUUCACCUUAUCCCUAACCUAAAGCUACCCCUAACUUUAACCCUAACCAUACCCCUAAACCUAACCCUAACCUUAACCUUGGCCCACCUGUACCCCUAAAACUAACCCUUACAAUAACUUUGACCCUAACACUCACCCUAAACCUAAUCCUAAUCCUAACCCUGACCCUAACCCUAACCUAAACUUAACCCUAAAUUUAACCUUACCAUAUACUUAAACCUAACCCUAACCCCUAACCCUAACUCUACCCGAACCCUAGCCCUCAACCUAACCCUAAACUUAACCGUAACACUUACCCAAAAAACUCACCUUAAAUGUAAAUGUAACUCUAACUCUUACCCUAACCCUGAACUUAACCCUAAUUAUAACCCUACCCUAAACCUAACCAAAACACUCACCCCUAACCCUAACUCUAGCCCUAAUCCUUAGCCUAAACCUAACCUUAACCCUAACCUAACCCUAACCACUAACCCUAAGUCUAACUCUAAACCUAAUCAUAAACCGAACCCUUACUUUAACCAAAAUUUCACUCUAAUCACAACCCUAACCCUACCCUAACUUCAUUCAAAGCCUAAUCCUAAGCAAAACUAACACUAACCCUAAACAUAACCCUAGCCCUAAAACUAACCCUAACCCCUAACGUCACGCUUAACAUAAACUUCACCCUAACCCGAACCCUAAAACUAAACAUAACACUAAAUCUCCCCCAAACUCUAACCCUAACCCUAAUUCUAACCAUAAACCUAACCCUAACCCUAAACUUAACCCUAACCCUGACCCUAACUCCAACUCUAACCCUAAAACUUACCCUACACACUCAGCUUAAAUGGAAACCUAGCACUAACCCUCACCCUAACAUUGAAACCUAACCCCAACCCUUAACCCAACCCUAUCUCUAACCAUAGCCUAGUCCUAAACCUAACCAAGACUUAAACCUAACACUUACCCUAACCCUAACUCUAAUCCUAACCUUAAUCCUAACCUUAACCUUACCCCCUAACGCUAACCCUAAGCUCAACUCUCACCCUUAAAAUAAACUUUACCCUAGCUGUAGCCCUAACCCUAAACCUGACCCUAACAUUAACCCAAACACCUAACCCUAAACCUGACCCUAACAUUAACCCAAACACCUAACCCUAAUCCUAACACUAAGCCCAACCCUAAACCUAACCCUAACCUUAACCCAAAUGCCUAAACCUAACCCUCACCCUCAUCCUUAACCUAAACUUCACCCUAAACCUAAGGCUAACCGUAACCCUAAAACUAAAGCUAACCCUUAACUACCCCCUAACUCUAGCAGUAACCCUAAACCUAAUGCUAACCCUAGCCCUAACCUUAACACCCUAAAACAUCAGCUUAAUGUAAACCUAACAGUAACCCUCACAUGAACCCCUAACCCUAACCCUAUCCCGCAUCCUACACCUAACCCAGACCUAAACCUAACCCUUUCUCUAACCCUAAACUUAACCCUAACCUUAACUCUACCCUAACCCUAACAAUAACUCUAAACCUGACCAUAACCAUAAUCCUUAACCCUAGCACUAACUCUAACUCUAACCCUAAGCUAGCCCUACCCUUUACCGUAAACCUAGCCUUAAUCCUAAACUUACCCCUACCCAAAACCUAACUCUAUACCUAACCCGAACACUAACCUUAACCCUACUCUAACCUUAACCCAAACCCUGACGAUUAACUGAAACUUCACCCUAACCCCCUAACAACAAACAACACUAACCCCCUAACAACAAACAACCCUAACCCCCUAACAACAAACAACACUAACCCUCUAACAACAAACAACCCUAACACCCGAACAAACAACCCUAACCCCCUAACAAAAACAACCCUAACCCUCUAACAAACAACCCUAACCCCCUAAAAAAAAACCCUGACCCCCGAACAACAAACAAUCCUAAGCCCCUAACAAAAAACAACCCUAACCCCCUAACAACAAACAACCCUAACCCCCUAACAAAAACAACCUUAACCCUCUAACAAACACAAUCCUAACCCCCUAACAACAAACAACCCUAACCCCUAACAACACACUACCCUAACACCCUAACAAAAACAACCGUAAACCCCUAACAAACAACACUAACCCCCUAACAAAUAACACUAACCCCCUAACAAACACAACCCUAACCCCCUAACAAUCAACCCUAACCCCCUAACAACAAACAACUCUAACCCCUAACAAACACAACCCUAACACCCUAACAAACACAACAUUAACCCGCAAACAAACACAACCAUAACCCCCCAAGAAAAACAACGCUAACCUCCUAACAAACAACCCUAAACCCCUAACAAAAACAACCCGCACCCCCUAAGAAACAGCCCUAACCCCCUAACAACAAACAACACUAACCCCCUAACAAUGCUAACCCACUAACAAAAACAACCCUAACCCCCAACAGCAAACAACCCUAACCCCAUAACAACAAACAACACUAAUCCCCUAACAACAAACAACCCUAACCCCCUAAAAACAAACCCUAACCACUUAACAUCGAACAACCCUAACCCCCUAACAAAAGCAAACCUAACCCCCUAACAAACACAACCCUAACCCCCUAACAAACACAACCCUAACCCCCUAACAACAAACAAACCUAACCACCUAAAAACAAACAACCCUAACCCCCUAACAACAAACAACCCUGACCCCCUAACAAACACAACAUUAACCCCCAAACAAACACAACCCUAAACCUCUGACAAAAACAACCCUAACCGCCUAACAAACACAACACUAACCCCCUAACAACAAACAACCCUAACCCCCUAACAAAGACAACCCUAAAUCCGUAACAGCAAACAACCCUAAUCCCCAACAACAAACAACCCUAAACCUUUAACAUCGAACAACCCUAACCCCCUAAAAAAAGCAACCCUAACCCCCUAACAAACACAACCCUAACUCCCAACAACAAACAAACCUAACCACCUAACAACAAACAACCCUGACCCCCUAACAACAAACAACCAUAAACCCCUAACAAAAACAACCCUAACCCCCUAACAACAAACAACCCUAACCCCCUAACAACAAACAACCCUAACCCCCUAACAACAAACAACCCUAAACCCUUAACAACAAACAGUCCUAACACCCUAAAAACAAACCCUAACCUGCCAACAACAAACAACCCUAACCCCCUAACAACAAACAA